GUCGUUUUGGCAGCACAUAUACUAAAAUGGAAUAAUACAGAGAAGAUUAGUAUGACUCCUGUGCAAGGACGACACGCAGAUUUAUAAAAUGUUCCAUAUUUGU